rnacentral:rRNA from 1 species
GACGAACGCUGGCGGCGUGCUUAACACAUGCAAGUCGAACGGAAAGGCCUGCUUUCCCUUGUGGAUUGCGGGUACUCGAGUGGCGAACGGGUGAGUAACACGUGAGUGAUCUGCCCCCAACUUGGGUAUAAGCCUGGGAAACUGGGUCUAAUUUCCGAUAGGACUGCAGGGUGGUGCCUGUGGUGGAAAACGAUUUUCUAGUGGUUGGGGAUGAGCUUGCGGCCUAUCAGCUUGUUGGUGGGGUAAUGGCCUACCAAGGCGGAGACGGGUAGCCAGCCUGAGAGGGUGGAGGGGCAAAUUGGGACUGAGCUACGACAAAGACUCCUACGGGAGGCAGCAGUGGGGAAUAUUGCACAAUGGGCGGAAGCCUGAUGCAGCGACGCGGGGUGGGGGAUGACGGCCUUCGGGUUGUAAACUCCUUUCGACCGCGAGGAAGCCACCUGGUUGGAAGGGUGGUGACGGUAGUGGUAGAAGAAGCACCGGCUAACUACGUG